rnacentral:rRNA from 1 species
CAGCAGCAGCCGCGGUAAUACGUAGGGUGCGGGCGUUAAUCGGAAUUACUGGGCGUAAAGCGUGCGCAGGCGGUUCGUUAAGACAGAUGUGAAAUCCCCGGGCUUAACCUGGGAACUGCAUUUGUGACUGGCGAGCUAGAGUAUGGUAGAGGGGGGUAGAAUUCCACGUGUAGCAGUGAAAUGCGUAGAGAUGUGGAGGAAUACCGAUGGCGAAGGCAGCCCCCUGGGCCAAUACUGACGCUCAUGCACGAAAGCGCGGGGAGCAAACAGGAUUAGAUACCCCCGUAGUCCCUGUCUCUUAUAC